GAUGAACGCUGGCGGCGUGCCUAACACAUGCAAGUCGAGCGAACAGACCAGGAGCUUGCUCCUCUGACGUUAUCGCGCGACGGGUCAGUAACACGUGGUUAACCUACCUAUAAGACUGGGAUACCUACGGGAAACCGGAGCUACUACCGGAUAAUAUAUUGAACCGCAUGGUUCCAUAGUUAAAGACGGUUUUGCUGUCACUUAUAGAUUGAUCCGCGCCGCAUUAGUUAGUUGGUAAGGUAACUGCUUACCAAGGCAACGAGGGGUACCCGACCUGAGCGGGUGGAUGGCCAGCCGGUAACUGAGACACAGUCCAGACUCCGAGAGUGAGAAGCAGUACAGAAUCCUACGCGAUGGGCGAGAGGCGGACGGAGCAACGCGGGGGGAGGGAUGAACGAGUACGGAUGGUAGAGCUAUGUUGGUAGGAGAGAACAAAAGUGUAAGUAACUAGGCAGGUCUUGACGGUACCGAAAGAGAAAGCCACGGCUAACUCCGUG
rnacentral:rRNA from 1 species